UAGGGGGCAAGCGUUAUCCGGAUUUACUGGGUGUAAAGGGAGCGCAGGCGGCGCGUCAAGUCUGGUGUGAAAGCCCGGGGCUCAACCCCGGGACUGCAUUGGAAACUGUCGUGCUUGAGUGUCGGAGAGGUAAGCGGAAUUCCUAGUGUAGCGGUGAAAUGCGUAGAUAUUAGGAGGAACACCAGUGGAGAAGGCGGCUUACUGGAUGACAACUGACGCUGAGGCUCGAAAGCGUGGGGAGCAAA
rnacentral:rRNA from 1 species